rnacentral:rRNA from 1 species
GGGCAUUCAGGGGCAACUCUGGGUGACCGGCGAACGGGUGCGUAACACGUGAGCGACCUACCUCCCUGCGGGGGAUAGCCGGCCCAACGGCCGGGUAAUACCGCAUACGCUCAUUCUGGUUCAUGCUGGAGUGAGGAAACUUCUGGGGCGGGGAGAGGGGCUCGCGGCCUAUCAGCUAGUUGGCGGGGUAACGGCCCACCAAGGCAGUGACGGGUAGCUGGUCUGAGAGGAUGGCCAGCCACAUUGGGACUGAGAGACGGCCCAGACUCCUACGGGAGGCAGCAGUGGGGAAUCUUGCGCAAUGGCCGCAAGGCUGACGCAGCGACGCCGCGUGGGGGAGGAAGGGCUUCGGCUCGUAAACCCCUGUUGCCCGGGGCGAACAUCCCUUUUCGAGGGGACUGACGGUACCGGGUGAGGAAGCACCGGCUAACUCCGUGCCAGCAGCCGCGGUAAUACGGAGGGUGCGAGCGUUGUCCGGAAUCACUGGGCGUAAAGGGCGCGUAGGUGGCCGAGCAAGGUCGCGGUGAAAGCCCGGGGCUCAACCCCGGGUCGGCCGUGGCAACUACUUGGCUUGAGCACUGUAGGGGCGGGUGGAAUUCCGGGUGUAGCGGUGGAAUGCGUAGAGAUCCGGAAGAACACCGGUGGCGAAGGCGGCCCGCUGGGCAGGAAGGCUCGCAAGAGCCGGCUGACACUGAGGCGCGACAGCGUGGGGAGCAAACAGGAUUAGAUACCCUGGUAGUCCACGCCGUAAACGAUGGGCACUAGGUGCCUGGGGGAGCGACCCUCCGGGU